UUCUUGCGGUGAUUACUGCCCUUGGUUAUUACCUGAGGGCGUUGCAAGAGCCUUAUUUACACCGCCAAGUUGAGAAUUUAAAAACAUUUUUAAAAAUAGGUUUAUCUGCGUAUCCUGGUGAAGUUAGGAUGCAGAGAACUUGGAGCGGUUGUUUUCUACCAGACACGAGGAUCCCUGUGAAAGACUGAAAACCUUUGGAUGACCCUUCUAAUAAUAUCAAGAAAGUUCAGCAUCGAGACUUGCAGAAUGUCCUGGAGGCAGCAUUAGGACACAUCUGAGAAACGCUUCAACAUCAAGUCCAGAGGAUGAACGCGUGAAGAAAAACGUGGACAUCGACUCUUAGUUGUACGUGAUUCAGAAGACUCUGACUAUGAUCCAAUUUUAGGAAAAGCUUAACUAAUAUAUGCGUGAGUGUUACAUGAUAAAAAUCUACAACUAAAUAAAUCAAAAAGAGCUCUUUCAAUAACAUGAAAUUAAAAAUUUAACUAUUAACAAAGUAUCAUGUCAUAGUUUAAUUUGCAAAGGGAAACAAUGGACCCUUUUUGUCUCUUUUAAGAAUAUGCAUUAUCACAGACAAGACCUGGGCCUCAGGCCUUUUUCUAAAUUUAAAAAUGAAAAUCAGAAGAAAUAUCAAUGUGCAAAAUAAUGAAAAUGUCUGCAUAAAUUGAAUCAGAAAAAAAUAGAACAAGAUAUAAAUUUGAGUUAAAGGUGAUCUUGGGUGAAAUAUACAAGCAGCAUAUUCUUGACUUUUGCUCCCUGCAGUGUCCCCA
rnacentral:lncRNA from 1 species